CCUACGGGAGGCUGCAGUGAGGAAUAUUGGUCAAUGGGCGCGAGCCUGAACCAGCCAAGUAGCGUGAAGGAUGACUGCCCUACGGGUUGUAAACUUCUUUUAUAAAGGAAUAAAGUGAGGCACGUGUGCCGUUUUGUAUGUACUUUAUGAAUAAGGAUCGGCUAACUCCGUGCCAGCAGCCGCGGUAAUACGGAGGAUCCGAGCGUUAUCCGGAUUGAUUGGGUUUAAAGGGAGCGUAGAUGGGUUGUUAAGUCAGUUGUGAAAGUUUGCGGCUCAACCGUAAAAUUGCAAUUGAUACUGGCAGUCUUGCGUACAGUUGCGGUAGGCGGCAUUCGUGGUGUAGCGGUGAAAUGCUUCGCUCUCAC
rnacentral:rRNA from 1 species